CGUCUAGGCGGCAGCCUAAGUCCCAUGUGAAAGCUCCCGGCUCAACUGGGAGAGGGCAUGGGAAACUAGGUCGCUCGAGACUCGGAGGGGGGUGCGGAAUUCCCGGUGGAGUGGUGAAAUGCGUUGAGAUCGGGAGGAACACCAGUAGCGAAGGCGGCACCCUGGCCGAGGUCUGACGCUGAAGCGCGACAGCGUGGGGAGCGAACG
rnacentral:rRNA from 1 species